CCGAUCUCAACAAACCAUUUCUGUAUGGACCUCGUUUUGUGCACGGGCAUUGUCAUGAUGAAAUAGGAAAGGGGCCUUCCCCAAACUGUUGCCACAAAACUGGAAGCACAGAAUUGUCUAAAAUGUCAUUGUAUGCUGUAGCGUUAAGAUUUCCCUUCACUGAAACAUGAAAAACAGCCCCAGAUCCUUAUUCCUCCUCCAUAAAACUUUACAGUUGGCUCUAUGCAUUGGGGCAGGUAGCGUUCUCCUGGCAUCCGCCAAACCCGGAUUCGGCCGUCGGACUGCCAGACGAUUUUUACAUGCUAUGCUCUUCAGCACUCGGCGAUCCCGUUCUGUGAGCUUGUGUGGCCUACCACUUCACGGCUGAGCCGUUCUUGCUCUGAGAUGUUUCCACUUCACAAUAACAGCACUUACUGUUGACCGUGGCAGUGUUAAUUAAGAACUUGAACACGCUGUUGUACACGUCAAUCCAGAGCAUCCCAAACAUGCUCAAUGGGUGACAUGUCUGGUGACUCUGCAGUCCAUGGAAGAACUGGGACAUUUUUUUUCUUCUUCCAGUUAUUGUGUACAGAUCCUUGCGUUAUGUGGCUGUGCACUAUCAUGCUGAAACAUGAGGUGAUGGCGGAAAAUUAAUGGCACGACAAUGGGCCUCAGGAUCUUGUCACGGUAUCUCUGUGCAUUUAAAAUUGCCGUUGAUAAAAUGCAAUCGUGUUCAUUGUUCGUAGCUUAUGCCUGCCCAUACCAUAACCCCACUGCCACCGUGGGGCACUUUGUUCACAACGUUGACAUCAGCAAAUCUCUCACCCACAUGACGCCAUACACGCCGUCUCCCCGUUCAGUUGAAACCUGGAUUCGUCCGAGAAGAGCAUACUUCUUCAGUGUUCCAGUGAACAUCGAAGGGGGGCAGUCGGUUACACCGCCUAACUGCAGUCAGGUCAAGACCCUGGUGAAGACGACGAGCAUGCAGAUGAGCUUCUCUGAGAACGUUUCUGCCGGUUCGAUUGUGAAAACCCACAGUUUCAUCAGCUGUCUGGGUGGCUGGUCUCAGACGAUCCCGCAGACCCCUAGCUACUCACUCUGUCUGCUGCUGUGGAUAUUCGCCCUGCGCCUCUUGUGGUUCACGAGUAGAGGUGUCUGGACCAGAAAGACCCAGAGCCCUCACAGAUUAGAGGGAAACAAGAGCUCAGUCAGUCAACAAGUCAGGACAAAAAGCAACUUCAAGAACUGCAGUCUGAUAUCAAUCAUCUCUGUCAGAAAAGUGACUAUGACCAGGAGGACCCCACUCAGUCUUCACAUCUUUACCAUGCCCCAAUUGAGAUAAACAGAGAGAUGGAUUCUCUACUAAGAGACUCAAAUGAACAGAUUGAAACAGUGUCGGAUGAAGAGAGCUAUGGAGAAACAGAACCAAUAUCCAGCUACUACUGUUUUGCAGCUCAGGAUGUAAGAUGUGAAUGGAUGGAGAAUGGAGAACAAAGCUCCCAUAAGACCAAGUGUGGCAGGAAGUCUAUGUCCCAGCUGAAGUCGACCGGUCAAGGUCAUGCUGGUCCUAGUUGUAAGGUGUGUUGGAAGUCUUUUAACAAAAUGGGUUCUUUGAUUUAAACAUGUGCAAACGCAUAAAGGGGAUGAAUAACGGAGAAAGAUUUGACUCCACAAAGUUUGAUCAAUCACUUUAAAAUUCACAUUGGAGCACAGUAUUGUCAUGUUUGUGGUAAAAAUUUCAGCAAGAGUACUAAAAUGAAGAGACAUAUGAGGAUUCACACGGGAGAAUCCUUAUCAGUGUGUCAAAGUGUUCAAUCAGAGUGGAAAUCCGCAAUUGCACAUGAGGAGCCACACAGGGGAGAAACCUUUGUGUGCGCAAUAUUUGACGAAUGUUUUAGCGACAGAAAUACAUUAACCAAGC
rnacentral:lncRNA from 1 species